rnacentral:lncRNA from 1 species
GGGAGAAUUUCCAGAAGUUGAUUUUCCAGAUUUAUAGAACGCAACUCCUGAGUGGUCACUGCAGCAACUGUGUCAUUUUUCUACUUUUUCCAGCUGAACCAGUGACAAGUUACAUCACUAAUCCUGAGCUUAUUAAGAAGUGUCACCAUCUCAUGUUGGAAACCUCUCCGGAGGGUUUGGUACUGUUCUCUCAGGUUGAUUAUUUAAGAUUAAUGUCCUGAUAUGACAAACUGAAUUUUUAAUCUGUCAUCAAAGCAGAUUAUCAGAACCAGAAAUGACAAGAUUUAUUCAAAGUAAACAUGAUAUAUUAAUGAAUGGUUUUUCCUCUGUCACCGAAUAAUUAUAGAUUCCUUCUUACUAAAAACAAAUUAUGUUUAUUUCCCUUAAGAAGACUAUGAUUAAUUAUACACAAUUACACUUGCCUUUAAUUUAACAGAUUUCUUCUUUACUCUGGAUUAGUGGGUUAUUGUAUAUUAUUAAAUAGCUUCAGAAAACCCAAAGAAGGAAACCUUUCU